CCUGUCUAGUGGACACUGGGUGGUGUCAGGUUCUCCUGCAUUGCCUUUUUUUGCUCAUGAUUCACCUUCCAUGAUGCUUGCCCAUCCCCCACUGUCUCCUUUUGCUGUGUUGGAGGAAACCAUGGUUGAUAUUUUUAAAGAAAAAAAUUACCUUUAGUACAAAUCUCAUCAUUGUUAGAAAACAAUUUUUUUUUUUUGUUUUGUUUUGCCGAGAGACUUGUACUUUGGAAGCACAACUGCCUCGGAUAGCUGCAAAAUAUGUUUGGAAAACUAGGAAAUAAUUUGGGAUUGGUUGAGGUCCUUUGGAUGCCUUAGUUAUGUUGAAGGGAGAUCUAAAUGAUCUGGUUGAUUACACAAGACAUGACUCAUGGUAGCAGAAAAUAUGUGAAUUGCAUAAAAAAGACAUUUUGGACAGCAGAUUUGACUCGUAAUUGUUUACUUUUUGCUGUCCAAAACGUCAUGUAAUAAUGACCAGAGGGAGUAGCAACCCUUUUUUGUUUUUGAUACUGUCAAAAUAGUAGCUUGUGAUGAAAUGGCGUCUGUUACUGCACUAUCAACUGAACUGUAACGGAGCAAAUCCUUCAUCUGAUGAAAAAGAAAACCUUUUUUAUAGCUUGGUUUGUUGCUCCAAAUGUUGGGGCAAUUUGCAGAGCGUCGUCACCUCACCAGACUUUGAGACACUGCUACGCUGCCUGCAAAUCGAUGGGACGGCGGUGGUACAGCGCGUGCGUGCCAGUGCCCGUGGCGGGGGCCUCCAUCUCUCCCGUCCCCUUCCUCCGUUCAGGUCGCCGGCGGCCGCCUGAGCGUCCAGCCGGUGGUGGCUGACUGCGGAGGAGUCGGAGCAGGGAGCACGGCCCGUGCGGUUUCGGGGUCAACGGCGAGGCCGAGGGCGGCGGACAUGCGAGAGCGUCCACGCGUGGCGGCCUUGGUCGAUGGGGAGGACGUCGCCGGCCUGGCGCGGGCGGCGGAACGGGAGCCAUCGCCGGCGCCGCAGCCGGCGUAGACCGCGGUCAUUGUAUUUGCAAAUCGGCCCCCGCAAAGGAUCCAAGUUUCGCCAGAUACCCCUGCAGUUUUCAAAAACCACCCUAAUUUGGAUCGCGAUCAUUAAUCGCGAUCCAAAUAUUCACACAUAGGCCCCUGAAUCGGAUCGCGAUCCCUUUUUUUUUCAUAUAGGCCCCUCGUCUUGGUCGCGGUGUCUGGCGGCGGAGCGAAGCAGAGGAGGCCUAGCGCGCGCCGGCGGCGGCGGCGACAGUGGCGACGGGCCGCGGGCGAAGGGAAGCUCCAGCUGUGCUCCAUGUCGAGGGGAGAGGUCGGUCGGAGGCGUCCCCGGUACAGUAGAUGGUCUCAGCGGUGAGCAGUGCGUGAUAGCGUGAGGACGGCGGAGAUAAAGCUUGCCGGACCUCCGUCGCCGCCGGCGGGUAACCAGCUGGGAGGCGGCGCAAGAGAUGGCCGCGACGCGAUCCGUGGGGUUUCGAUCUGAAUGGACUUGCAAAAUAUUCAGAAUUGAGUGUGAAUGUUCAGACUCCUCUUCUAUUAUGAAUCCCUGCUAAUGUUCAGACAAAAGUCCUCAGUGUCCAUCGAUUGCAACAUUACUGAAACCAUGCGAAUCAGCGACUGCUGGAAAGCCUGAGAUACUAAUCAGCAAGAAUCCUAGUACUACUGAUGCAGUAGUGUUCUCCUAAUCCUGUUCGUUUUGGAGCGCUUCUAUGAGGUUCAGGUUCUGGUUCCUCGUUCCUGUUCUGCCAUUUUUUGGUGGAUUGAAGCUUCAGUAGUGGCAGUUGUGAUAACAAGCUGAAUUUUCAGUUUGCCUGGACAAUCUUGUUAUGCAAUUUUGACUAUGCUACUGCAGACUGGACUUUGAUAUCCAUAUGAUCAUCCGAUUGAUUGCAUAGACUUCUGACUCAUGAUAGAAGCAAAAAAUGUAGAGUGAAUUAAAAAAUGCAUACGGUCCUGGAGAAAUAGCAAUUGUUUUUAUGCUGUAAAAAAUAGUACUUCGCAAUGAAAACUUGAGUCGAAUGUCCAAACUGGCGGUUUGUGUUUGUCCGUACACACUGCACACUGCAGUAUUGAGCACUGACUGGCAACUGCAGUGACAUGUUCAGUAGAGUCUAAAUUGUCAAAUUGCUUGAAUUUUGAGAGAUCCUCCUCGAUUGAGUACAAUCACAUAUCCCUAGAGAAAUCAUCCUCACUCAAACAAAAUCUAGGAGAAAGAUUAUCUCAGAUGACCCGCUUAAUUCGAGUGGUAAUCAAGUUAACGAGUAAUUGCUGCUGCCGUGGAUCGUGGCACCACAAUGUGCCGGAAAUGGUAAACUACAGCCACAUUUCAUGUGAAUCGCAUCUACAUUAGCUGAAUUUACACGAAGAGAGAAAAUUUGCCAAAUCAUGGAGGAAUUUGCAGAUCUUGCUCACCUCACCGGACACCAGGUUCCAGACACUGCUACGCCGCCGGCGAAGCGAUCGACCGGCGGCGGUAGAGUGUGCGUGCGUGCCCGUGCCGGGGGUGUCCUCCAUGUCUCCUUUUUCGCUUCCUGUUGUUCUGGACGGCGGUGCAGGGUCGGCGGCGGCCUGAGCGUGGAGGCGGAGGUGGUGGUGCCUGACUGUGGAGGAGUCGGAGCACGGGUCCGUGGGCUCGGGGUCAACGGCGAGGCCGAGGGCGGCGAAUAGGCGAGAGCGUAUCGUGGCGUAGCGGCCUUGCACGGGAUCAGGAGGACGCCGCCGGCCGGGCACAGGCGGCGAAACGGAAGCCAUCGCCGGCGCCGCAAUCGGCGUCAACCGCUGUCAACUUACUUUUGCAAAUAGCCCCUUUAUAUUUUCAUAUAACCCCCUUAUUUGGAUCGCGAUCAUUAAUCGCGAUCCAAAUAUUUACAUAUAGGACCUUAAAAUGGAUCGCGACUAUUAGUCGCGAUCCAUAUUUUUGCAUAUAAGCCCCUCUUUCGGGCCGCGGUGACUGGCAGCGGAUUGAAGCCGAGGAGGCCCAGCGCACCGCGGCGGCGGCGACGGCGGCAGGCGAAGGGAUGCUCCGGCAACCGACGUUCUCCAUGUCCAGGAAGUCAUGAAGGCGCAGUCAGUUAUCCCCGUUGAUGGCGUCCGCGGCGGGCAGAACGUGAAAGCGCGAAGGCAAUGGCGGCGGCCGGGAAGAGUUGUUCCCGCACCUCCGUCCCCGGAGGUUCCGCCGGCGGUUAACCGUGGGCUGAUGGAAGGUGUGCGUCAGCGAUGGCCGCGACGCGACCUGCGGGGGUCCAUUUGGGUGAUCUGGGCCUGAUGAUGUCUGAUUCAGAGAAUUCCUCCGUUUCAGGCUUGCAGCAUGCCCAGCCUGCUGAAUCUUAACAUUUAAUCAUUGGAACAAGACUCCAUGCAUCAAAAUUCAGUGUACUACUCGAACUUUGCCGUCGCCGAGCGCAGUAGGCGAAUACGCGCCGAGCAGCGGCAUUUCGAAACAUUCAAACUGAGAACUUGCAGAAUGUUCAGCAGUUAGUGUAAAUUUUAUUCAGACUGUUCUUCUAUGGACAACACUGAAGAAAACUCUCGCGCGUUCGGUUAUACAGGCAGGGACUCCGAUAAUGUCGUCAGGGAACAGAGUUUAUGUCAUUUGUCAACUGAUUGCAAAAAUUACUGAAACCAUGUCAAUCAGCGAUUGCUAAAAACGCCUGAGACACUAAUCAGUAAAAAAUCCUAGUACUACUGAUGCAGUAGUGUUCUCCUCCUUCAUUCUGUUGGUUUUGGAGCACUUGUAUCAGGUUCAGGUACGGUUCUAGCUCUCCUGUUCUGCCACAUUUUGGGUGGAUUGAAGCUUCAGUAAUGGCAAAUGCAAUAACAAACUGAAUUUUUAGUGUGCCAGUGCCACGCUCUCAUUAUCAUCUGCACAAUCUUGUUCUGCAAAUUGACUAUGCUACCGGAGACUGGACGGCGGCGCUGGGUGUUGUCAGGUUCUUGUGCUGUAACCUUGGGCAGCCCUGCAGUCCUAUCAUCCCUCACUGUCUCCUUCUCUUCCAUCUAAAAUAUCCAACGUCGAGGAGAUCUCGGAGGCGCUGUCUGUCGUCCCUGGUAGAUGGCCUCGCCGGUGAUAGCGUGAGGAUAGCAGCGGCGGCAGGAGAUGAACUUUGAACGGAUGAUGGUGUCUGGUUCAGAGACGCCCGGACGAGUAUGUGCCAAAGACCGGGCUUUUGUAAUAUUCAAACCGAGAACUUGCCGAAUAUUCAGAGACUGCUCUUCUAUGGACAACACCGAAGCAAGCUCUGCCGCCUUUGUGAUCACUUGUCCAUUGAUUGCAACAUUACUGAAAUCAUGCGAAUCCAAAAAACCGGAGACACUAACCAAAAAAAAUCCGAGUACUGCUGACUCAGUAGCGUUCUCCUCCUAAUCCUGUUAGCUGUGGAGCACUUGAGUCAGGUUCAGGUUCUAGUUCCCGUUCUGCCAAUUUUUGGGUGGAUUGAAGCUUCAGUAGUGGCAGUUGUGAUAACAAACUGAAUUUUCAGUGUGCCGGACAAUCUUGUUCUGCAAAUUGACUAUGCUACUGCAGACGGGUGUCAGGUUCUUGUGCUGUCACCUUGGGCAGCCCUGCAGUUCCAUAAUCCCUCACUGUCUCCUUCUUUUGCAUCUAAAUUACCCACCUUUUGUUGUUAUAAAAAGGUGUAACCUAUGAAUUAGCAAGGCUGGACAGGACUGCUGGCCACUGGCCCCCCUAUUCUUUUGUCAUGCUCGUAAGCAUGUAAUGUUUUCGGAAUUUUAAGUAUCUUCAAAUAAAUCGGGAUGCGCCUCUUGCUUCUUCCCCCAUCCUCACCAAUCUUUGAAGAUAAUUUUGAGUAUUUGCCACCCAAAGAGAGGCUUCUCAUAUUCCAUAAAAAAUGAAACUGGUAAUAAACCGUUCAAAAUAUCAAAACAUGUUGCCACCUAAAUAAAUCUUUCCACUUGAUGACCAUUUUCCUUAGUAUGACAUGCUACCUCCAACAUUUCUAUAUCAUCUCCCCACCUAAUACAAUAUGGGAUGCACCUUAGAAGGCCUAAGGCUAGGGACCCUCUUUGUGUAAAAGAGGCCUAAAACGGGGUCAAGGACUUGUUUGUGAGGGUCAGGGACUCAGUUGUAAUAUCCAGGGAUCUUUUUUAAGGUCCAGAGACCUAUUUAUAACAUUCGACCCCACCAAUGGAAUUAAUAUAAACAACCAUCUCCUCCUCCCCAUAAACAGAGCUCUAGGGCUUAUAAGGAGGGGACUUGUAGCAUUUUGUUCAUUUGGUUCACUUGUUCACUUGGCUUGUUCUCUCCUUUCUCCUCUCUAUAACGUGUUCGGGAUUCCUAAUCCCAACAGUGGCACCCAUCGUGGAGGACUAGUCCAUCCUAAUUUGUCCGGUGCUCGUAAAAGAAGGCUUGAAGAUGUUACAGCUACCCUACCUUCGGUCGUGACUAUUUCAACUACAUCGGUUAUCAAAGCAAGGCCUGCUGUUUGAGGCUCAAGAGUGAAGUUUUCUACCGAUUCAAAGCUCAUCAUUCAAGGCACCUAAAGGCAUACAUCCGGAGCAUGAGUUGCUAGCCUCUAUUAAUUAAUAGGAGCAACUAUUAGAUCUUGUAGUGCCGGCUAAGACCGAAUAGUUGAGGGGCUACUGUUGAGGGUGUGCCUUAGGAGGCUUAAGGCUAAGGAACCCCUUUGUGUAAAAGAGGCCUGAAAUGGGGUCCAAGAACUUAUUUGUGAGGGUUAGGGACUCAGUUGUAAUAUCCAGGAAUCUUUUUGUAAGGUCCGCGGACCUAUUUGUAAUAUUCAACCCCACCAAUGGAAUUAAUACAAACAAUCAUCUCCUCCUCCUUGUAAAUAGAGCCAUAGGGUUUGGAGGAGAGAACUUUUGGCCAUUUGUUCGUUUGGUUCACUUGGCUUGUUCUCUCCUUUCUCCUUCUCUCUAUAACCUGUUCGGGAUUCCCAAUCCCAACAUACAAUACGCUAUCACUUCCAAAUAAGAAGUUGCUGCUGUUUGGAGGCACUCAAUACGCAUUUUGCACUCUUAGUUAUAUCAAGAGGUAAAAUGAUCACCUAGGAUAAAGAUGGGAGAGGAUGUCGUCGAGAGGCAAUGACUUAUGGUGACCUGCCCAAACCUUCUUUGGGGACAUAUUCCCCCUCUCCUUCGCUCUUUCUCCCCUUGAUCCUUGAUCUUAACAUAUUUGAUGUGUCCGUCCACUAGAUAACGACACGACGGUAUUUGAAUUCAAUCCACAAAUGUUGCAGCUACAGGCAAUUGGCCAUUGGAGUCUAUGGUCAAGUCUUUGCUAUCAAGCCGAAUUUUCAGGAAUCCAAAAAGACAAAUCAUCCAAGCGAGUGAGCGGCUCCCUCUCUCCUAUCGCCGGUGACCACUCCGGUCCCAGCGUCCAACCCCCUUCCUUCCCGCCGGCGUCCACCCCCGAACCUAGCGUCCACAGACCUUGAUGACGCUUCAGCAAGCUCCCUUGUCCACUCGGAUCCUUUCACCCUUCCUCCCAACAAGUGCAACCGCUUCGAAUGAUGAAGCGGAAGGCUUCGACAAUGGUUCGUGGAAUCUUCAUUCAAGGGGUGAAGAGAUGUUUAGCAGGAAUCUCUUGUGUUCCUUGUUGUUGUUACACAUCUCUCUUGGUGCUCUAAUCAAGUGAACUCUCCCUCCCUCAAACUCCUCUCAGAGUUCCUACUCUGUCUACUUUCCUAGAUCACUGGUAUCACCCUAGAAGCUGGUUCUCCCUCCUUGCAAAUGGACUUCUCCAAGUUCAACUUUGAUUUGGAAAGGUCUUCAGUAAGCAAGUCCAUGAUCAUUUGGGUUCUCUUGUGAACCUUGAAGGGAUGCCAGCAGGCAAGGGCUUUCACCUGCUGGUAUCAUUCAGCAGAAAUAGAUUCAGAUUAACUGAAGAUUCAGUCAACACUUGCUUGCUAUCUGUACUGGGUGGCAAAGCCCAUCUGUUCUUUGCUGAGCCACUCAAGGAAUAGAUCUUCAAAUUUACUGUGAUCUCUAGACAAGUGGGUUUUCAAGUGAUUGAUCAAAGCCCUGGCAUUUGUGAACACUUUAUGCUCUCUUUCUUUCUUUACAAUGACUCUGGCUUUUCAAAGGCUUUACUCUUUGCCAAGAAAGAUUCUAGGCCCUCUUUUGCAUGGCAAGUGGUUCGUUCUAAGAAUAACAAAGUUUCUCCUUUUGCUUCCACAUACUCCUUCCCUGCCCCUCUUUCAGGUGCCAAUAGUGUACCUUUGGGCAUGGGAUCUUUCAAGGGACCCUCAAAGGCGUAUAAUCCACUUUCAACCAAUUCAAGAGCCCCCAAGUUUGGGAAAUUAUUUGGGAAAAUCAGGGACAAAACCUCCUUUGUAGAUGUGGUAAAAUCUUCCUCUGUCCCUCUGACGGGUGCAAACACUACAACCCUGGGCAGUCGUAAGGCAAAUUCUUUCGGCAAUUAUCAAAGGAACUCAUUCUUCCAAAAAAAUUACCAAAGAAACUCUACUUGGAUUAAUCAGGAUCCUGGCAGAGGCAACACCUCAGUUUUUUUCAAGGUUAUCUUUCCCCAGGAAAUCUGUAUUUCUAAAAUUGGGGCCCCACGCAACCUAUCUAUAUCGUUUCAAAAAUAGUUUGAAUUCAGACAGAGGGCUGAAUCUUGUUAGUGGACCGAAUCGGCUACAAGAUCUCCUGGAUCCUCUAUUGCGAAGCCAGUACUGUUGCAACGGACUACCCUAAGCAUUGCAGAUACUACUUAACCACCAACCACCUCACCCACGCAUGCCCCAGAUGCUCGAAAUGCUGGCAUUGCAAAUAAGGAGGUCAUCGGUUCAAGUCGUGCCCCAUUUUGCACAGUCUCCAAAAGUUUACGACUUCAUUUAUUGCGGCGGCCACCAGUAAUUUUUUUUGCAAAGAUUGCAACUGAUAAAUGGCCUAGAUGCUGGGCUAAAUUGGUUCAUGGAAAAACAACAGACACCUCUUGAGCUGGAACCUACAAGCCCACCGGUUUUCCCAUCCCUUCAAGCACUGGGGUUAACGGUAUUGGGCAUACGAAGGGAUGCUACCCCCUAGACUUCAUCGUCUCCCCCCCACUCUCCACUACCACAAACUCGCCAGCACAAAAACCCUAGUUUCACUAUAGGCGAAGGCGGCGACGAAGCUCUCAGGCCGACGGAGAUGGCAUUCCUAAACAUUGACCUGGCGCCAUUGAUGUUGCCCGGGUUCGCAAGAGUUCUUGUCCAAGGGAGGCCAAAAUAUGCCCGGGUGGUGAUUUCGAGGUCUGCGUCGGUGAAUGAGGAACUUGCGAUCGUCACCAUCUCCAACUCCCCCUGGUGAGAUCCCAUUUGAUGCAGUCUAAGCAGCUAUUGUAGGCCUAGUGGAGGAAGAGUAUGAACUCCGAAUCCAGGAAAUCCAGAGGUGCCCCUUCCACCAGGCUCAGGCUUUUAUUUGCCUCAAUAGAGCCACGGAUAGAGAUGCUCUUGUUCAGCAUAGCCCUCAUCAACGUAAUGGACUGAGGUUUUUGUUUUGUCAACCACAAUAGAGGUCCUAAUGCUAGGAGAGUGAUGCUCAAUAGAGAAUGUUGGUUAAUGCUGAUAGGUUAUCCAAUAGACACUCGUAACAUUAAGGGCAUCUGUGACGCUAUAAGUCUUUUGGCAGGCUCAUAUGUUGGUAUAAAGACAGUGCAAUGGAUAGGGUGAUAGUAAAAGCAAGAGUAACAGAUCUGGAGGAUGUGCCGUAUUACCUCAUACUGUCAGAAGGGGAUGAAUUUGAAGGAAUUUCAAUCACUGUGCAGUGUGAGAUUAUCCAGCAGACACUUCUGGGGGGCCUUUUGCAGGAUGAAGAUAUCCCCCCAGGGUUUGAUGACAAUUUCAUCUUCCCUGGGAUUGGCCCCAAUCCAAUUUAGAACAACCACUAGCAGCACAACAAGCAGGAGCAGCAAGGCCAUCAAGUACAACACCAUCACCAGCGUCAUCAGUAAGAACAUCUGCCAGACCUCAAUGAUAAUCUGAUGGAGGUGGACCAAAUCUUUGAGCAGCAAGAGGAUCUUCAAAACCAACAGCCAGAUCAGAGAGAACAGGAAGAAUAGCAUGAUUAUAGGAAGUUAUGGACUUGGAAUUAAGCCUGUCCAUGCAGUUACCAUCCUUCACAAGACCGGGGAAUAGCAGCCGUAACAAUUGCUCUGAGCACAGCGUGGAUCAAGCCAUCCCUAGAGAAGUAGGACAGGGUGAUGGGAGUCUAGAUCAUGAGGAGAAGCAGCAACAGAUGCAGCAAGUGGUAUUGGCUCUUCCCGCCAUUCCUCAAUAGAAUGGGCUACCACCUGCGGCCCCUUUAAACCAAGAUGGUCCAAAUGACCAAAUGGGAUCAUGGCAGGGGGGAAUCUGGCAGGAGAAGGGGUCAAUGCUCCAGGGGAAAAUCAGGAACAAGGGUAUGGAGGUAGACAACAACUACCUGCUAGACAUCCUGUUACCCUUACAACAACACCAGGACAAUGAACUAGGAACUGCUUUCAACAUCAACCUCAAUGUUAAUCUCGCCAUAACUGAUAGGGGCUCCAGCACUAAUGCUGAUCCAGGUUGGGAUCAAUUGAUCAGUGGCUCUCAGGGCUCCUACAAAUCUCAUCCGGAUGUGCACAGGCUUUGGGCUCGCUUCUUCUCGCCCAUGGGCUCCCCCGAGCAGGUUAUUUCAAUUCCUAAUGACUGGACCCCCUUCUUUAUAGUUAUGCUUCUUUCUCCUAAUCAUUUUGAAUGGGCCAAGUCUUUCCUGUCAUCACAAGCUUGGAAGUUCUUGUUAUCCUGCGCUUCAAACUCUGUGUCAAUGUCUUUCGCCAUCCCCUCCAAGUGCCCAGAGAAUGUAGAUCUCAAUUGCAGUUUAUUUCCACAAGCCGCUAAUUGUUCUGUUGAAGACUCUUAUGACAAUUGUCCUGAUUCCUAGAAGAAGAAUCACUCCCCCACUCCUAUGGUGGAGACUAAGGCUAAGAGAAGCUUGAGGAUCCGAAGUCGCAAUAAUGGAUUCAGGCACACUAGUUGCCUCAAUAGGAACUGUUUGGCUUGUGCUACCAUUCCCCCAACCCUGACUAGCAAGACUCUGAAGAAGAUUGGGGAGGAUUUCUACAAGAUCAACCCAGCAUCCUUCUCUGAAGAUACUCUGAAAGGCAAGACUUAGACACAACAAGCAUUUGGUACUAGCAUAUCCUCCAAGCGUCAGAAGGAGAAGGGGAAGAUGGAUGACCAGGACUCCCCAAGGACAAGCAAGAAGACCAGGAACUGAAUUGGGUCUUUGCCUCCUCACUGCUUUUUCUUUUACUUCAUCCUCAUCUAUGGGCUGGAUAUGUUGCUUUGUAUUUUGUAAUGGGAAACUCGUCCCCAAACUCGUACGCUCCUCAAUGGACAUGCAGCUAAUUAUGUGGAUGGAUUUUUCCUUAAGGUUUUUUCUUUGCUUGACCUGGAGUGAAUGUCUGGAAUGUAUUUGGGACAUCGGUAGGCCUCAUACGAUGAUCUUUAUCAACUCAUAACCAAUGAAUCCAAAACAACACAAAAGAAAUUGAGCCAUAUUAUCGUGGAAUAUCGGAGGAAUAAAUUCAGAAGGAAAGUGGGAUGCUGUCAAAAGUAAGAUUUUUGAAUCUAAAUGUGACAUUGUAUGUUUACAAGAGACUAAAAAGGAGUACUUUGAUGCCACCUACAUUAAAAAUUUCUGCCCAGCCUCCUUGGAUUAGUUCACCUUUCUCCCUUCAGUAGGUAGUUCGGGAGGGUCCAUCAUUGUUUGGAAUAGGGCAAAAUUUAACAGCAAUCUGGAAUUUCAAAAUGAAUAUGCACAGUCAGUGCAUCUUACAUGCAAAUUAUCUGGUCAAUCUUGGUUUUUGACAAACAUCUAUGCCCCCUGCAUGGCUGAAAGGAAAACAAAAUUUCUACAAUGGUUCAAAAGGAUUUCUAUGCCUGAGGAUGAAAAUUGGCUCAUUGUUGGGGACUUUAAUCUCAUCAUAAGGCUAGAAGACAGAAAUAAAAUAGGAGGGAAUUAUCAGGAGAUGCUGGCCUUUAAUAAUACUAUAAGCAGCCUAAGAUUAGUGGAACUCUCACUAAGAGGAUGUAAGUAUACCUAGACGAAUAAACAAAGAAACCCUCUUUUGGAAAGGCUAGACUGGUUUUUUACUUCCAAUACUUGGACAACCAGUUUCCCAAACUCUUUUGCCACAGGGCUCUCUAGGGACACAUCAGAUCACACACCCUGUGUUAUAACAGCAUCAACCAAUGUGCCUAAGCUUCACAUUUUUAGGUUCGAGAAUUAUUGGCUGGAACAUGAUAACUUUCUUCCGGUGUUGAGUCAUGGAUGGAACCUUCCCAUUGAUCAUUCAGACUCUGAAAAAAGAAUAACUGUAGGACUUAAGAACCUCAGGAGAGUUCUAAAAGCAUGGAAGGCACAACUUCCAAAUUUAGCAACUGCUAUAAGAAAUGCUAAAGACCUGCUACAACUGCUUGAUAUCAUGGAAGAAGUAAGGGACCUAUCCCUUGAGGAAUGGAACUUCAGGAAUAUUAUCUCUAAUCAUUUGGGGAGCCUAUUGAAUCAACAAAAGACUUAUUGGAAGCAGAGAGGGAAGGUUAACUGGGUUAAGUUUGGAGAUGAGUGCACCAAGUUCUUCCAUGCAAAUGCCUCCAUAAGAAACAGAAGAAACACUAUCACAAUGCUCACAAAUGGAAAUGGAAGGGAUAUUUAUGACCAUGAGGCUAAAGCUGAGCUACUAUGGACUACUUAUAAGGAAAGAAUGGGCACCACAGAAUUCUCUCAUAUGUAUUUUGAUCUCCAAUCCCUCCUACAGCUGGAUGAUAAUCUCCAAUGGCUGGAAGAACCCUUCACCAAGGAGGAAAUAGACAGAAUUAUAUCUGGCUUACCUAAUGACAAAUCACCAGGGCCAGAUGGAUUCAAUGGGGAAUUCUUAAAGAAAUGUUGGAAUAUGAUAUCCCAAAACUUCUAUAAGCUGGUGGAGGACUUCUAUGAAGAAAACCUGUGUCUACAAAGCAUAAACUCUUCAUAUAUCACCCUGGUGCCUAAAAAAGACUGCCCCACCACUGUGGGAGACUUUAGACCAAUAUCUCUACUCAAUUCAACAAUUAAAAUCCUCACAAAGCUACUAGCAGAAAGACUACAACAGGUGAUUAUGAGGCUGAUUCACAAAAACCAAUAUGGGUUUAUUAGAACCAGGACAAUCCAUGACUGUUUAUCAUGAGCCUUUGAAUUCCUUCACAUUUGCAAAACAUCCAAAAGGGAACUGGUCAUCCUGAAGUUGGAUUUCGAAAAGGCCUUUGACAAAAUUGAGCAUAAAGCAAUCCUAAAAAUUAUGAAGCGGGUUUUGGACACAGAUGGCUUGGUUGGAUCAAGAGUAUUUUAGAGACAGGAACAUCAUCAGUGCUUCUCAAUGGGGUUCUAGGAAAAGUGUUCCACUGUAAAAGAGGAGUGAGGCAAGGAGACCCCUUAUCUCCCCUCCUAUUUGUUCUAGCGGCAGACCUAUUAUAAUGGAUCCUCAAUCGAGAAAAGGACCAGGGGAAUUUAAAACUUCCCAUCCCAGAAAGAGCAGGGACAGACUUCCCGAUUAUCCAGUAUGCAGAUGAUACGCUGCUCAAUGGAAGCUUGCCCCAGGUAGCUCCUGCUGCUCAAAAACCUUCUAAAUACCUUUGCUCAGUCCAUCGGUCUGAAAGUUAAUUACUCCAAGUCAGUGAUGGUGCCACUGAAUAUUUCAGAGGAAACUCUGGAAAGUCUUGCCACAACGUUUGACUGCCAAACAGGUUCUCUACUAUUCACUUACUUAGGUUUGCCCCUGGAAUAGUCAAGCUCAAAAUAGAGAACUUUCUCCCCCUCAUUCAGAGAAUUGAAAAAAAGGCUGUCUAGUACGUCCAUGCUCCUGAGUCAGGGAGGUAAAUUAGAAAUGAUGAACUCAGUAUUCUCAUCUUCUACUAUCUUCCACACCUCCACUCUCAAACUCCACAAAGGAGUCAUCAAACAACUGGACAAGUAUAGGAAGCACUGUCUAUGGAGAGGUUCAGAUUUAAGUUCCCAGAAGCCAUCCAAAGUGGCCUGGCCAAUGGUAUGCCCCCCCCCCCAAGAAGCAGGGAGGAUUGGGAGUAGUCAACAUUAAUGCACACAAUGAAGCACUGCUGCUCAAGUUCUUGCACAAAUUCUUCACUAGGGCCGACAUCCCUUGGGUUAAGCUUGUAUGGGACAACUACACUACACUAAUGACAUGCUACCUGGGCAACAGAACAAGGGCCCCUUUUGGUAGAAAGAUAUAGUCAAACUCAUAGACAGAUUCAAAGGCAUUGCAGCUGUUUCGGUAGCAGAUGAUUCCACGGUACUCUUCUGGCAAGAUCUUUGGAAUGGAAGGAUACUGUCUUAGGCUUUCCUUGAACUUUACUCUUUCGCCAUAAACUGCAAUGUCACUUUCAAGGCAGCCCUGGCGAGGCCACAACUAAUCCAUAAUUUAAACUUGCCUUUAUCCACACAGGCCCACAACCAGUUUAGGGAACUGCAGUAUCUCAUUACCUCCCUAAACCCGAAGACAGAGCAAGAUAAAUGGACCUAUAUCUGGGGAUCUACCCUCUUCUCAACGGCUAAAGCGUAUAAGGCUAUCAUGGGGCAGAGACAUGUUCAUCCAAUUUUCCGUUGGAUCUGAAGAUCAAGAUGCUAGAUGAAACACAAAGUCUUCUUUUGGCUACUCAUGAAAGACCGGCUAAGCAUAAGAGACCUCUUAAGAAGGCAGAUGAAUCUAGACUCAUAUACCUGCAAGCUUUGCAUACUACAGCGCAGAGAAAUAGUCAAUCAUCUUUUUUUCCGUUGCAACUUCGCGAGAGCGUGCUGGAACCAAAUUGGUGUUACUUACAUCUCCACCAGAACACAAUGGAACAUCAUUACUCAAAUCAAAGGCAAGUUGGGGGUUCCUUUCUACAUGGAAAUAAUAAUUUUGAUGACAUGGAGUAUUUGGACGACCAUAAACAAUUGGAUGUUCAAUUCAGUCGACCCGUCACCCCAACUUUGCAAAGACAAGUUCUCUUCUAAAUUCAACCUCCUUCUCAGAGCUUGCCCGCGCCUGAUCCACCUUAUGGAGGCGUGGUUACAUUCUCUGUAAUUUGCUUUGCUUUGUUUUCCUUUCUUCCUGCUUCAGAACUAUGUACUUUGUUCUACUUUUAUUUAAUAUAUAACCAAUAGGGUUCUGGAACCCCUCCUGAUUCUUCAAAAAUAUCUAUCUAUCUAUCUAUCUAUAAGACUUUUGGAGUUAAUCGAGAGAGAGAGAUGGAAUAGCGUCUCCUUGUACUCUUCGAUGCUGUAAAAAGCUAGUAAGGAGGAUGUUUUGGAGUUUUGAAAAAAAGGAGGCGCAAAAUAGCUGCACGCCUGCACUUGCUCUAGGAGUCAAUUUCAUAAAACUACACUAAAUUGGUUAGGAAAACUAUACUAUCAAGAUACAGUUUCAUAAAACAUGCACUUUUAUUGAUAUCCUUUAAUGCAAAACUGCACUGCCGUGAAUCGACUUGGCAAGACUGAACUUAUAUUGUCAUUGUGUCAUACUGUAUCACAAAACUAUAUAAUUUUUUUUAUCAUUAUGUAUCACACAACUAAAGUUUAAACCAUGAAAACAUACGGAAUGAAAACAAGAGAAUUAGUUCAAAAUCGGAAUGCUUUAUAUUGAAAAACAGAGGAAUUGAAGUUGUCUGCUACUGACCUUGCUGUGUUUUCCUCGCCUGAUGAUAGUUCCUGCCACUUGCCGACUGAGCUAUCCGUGGGGCGAGGAUGUUGCAUUCCGUUUCCAUUUGAGAGAAUUGGCAAUCUUCUUCAUGUAUUAUACAACAAGUUUGCCUACCGUAUUGGUUGGCUAGCUGGGCGAUCUUCUUGAUUUCACAUGCUGGGCUUUACAGUCUCAGCUGCUCCAUGCAGGGCCGACUCUAAGGUUUCAAGGGCUCUUGAGCAAAUCAAAAACUAUGAGCCUUUUUAACUUAUUUUUUUUCAUUCACAAAAAAGAAGAUAGUAACUUAAUUCUAGAAAAAUAUUAUCAAUACUACAAGCUAAAAGAGUAGCAAAAUGAAACUAGUAUGAUUAAUUUAUUAACUCAAAUAAGGACCAAACUCCAUGACUCCAUUGACAAAUGAUGCUUUAGCGUUUAAAAAAACUUGCAUUUCUUGAUGCAAAAUCGCUAAGCACUUGUGUAAAGCACCCUUUAGAAUUCAAUAAACUGGUCAUCUUAUUUUCUUUCUGUUUUCUUUCCUGAGAAGUGAGAACACAACAAAUGUUUAUUAGGAUUCUAAAACCUAAAUAGCGAAGAAAAAAAAUAAACAUUGGAAUUAGAAGUUUAAAACCCUAGAAAUCUAAGACACAAUAACCUGCUAAGCUAAAAAUUCACUCACCGAUUGAAGUAGAGAAAGAUGAGGAGGACUCAUUGGCUCAAAUGCAAGUAUACCGUAUAAAUACUUAGAUGCAUUACAUGUAGGAUCUUGGGCCCCUUCGCCCGUGGCCGUCGCCCCUACUGCCCCCUAGGGUCAGAGCCGGCCCUGUCUCCAUGGAUCAUGAGCACCGGGGAACAAUUCUGAAAACUGAUGGACGACGUACGCUAGCUGACCCCAGAUCAGUGCCAAUAAUAAUCUACUGCUACAAAGUUGAAACAAAAGUUUGCGGUGUCUGUGGGUAGGCUGCGAGAUGUUGCUACGUACACGACCAACGCUUGCUCGUGGAUGGGUACACGGUACACGGCUUGCAGGAGGGUUCUCGCGUCCAUGAACCCAUCUGGUUACACGACUGUUACAUCUCGAGUGAUGAGCAGAGUUUGGAGGAAUUAGACUCUGGUUUUAUGUAAGAGCUUAUAGAAUAUCUCAACUAUUUCUAUUAUAGUUUUGAUAAACUUUGAACUUUACAUGCCAUAUCUGAAAUAUAUAUAAUUAUUCCAUUAUGUACAAAAAUUGGGGGGCCUCUGUGAAGACCCCAAUAAUACACAGCCCUAAUGUGGACAAGUUCGGAGGGAGAUUAUAACUCUAAAAUGAUCAUCUCUUGAUUUUUGGGAAAUAAAUAACUCUUGAGGAGAAUUAUAUUAUGAAACUAAUUCACACUUAAAAGAUAAAUUUCUUAUAUCGUGUUUCCAACUAUUUCUGGACUAGACAUAGCAUUCAAACUGAUAUUCAAUUCUAUUAGCACACUGUACACAAAAUGGGCGUAGUAGGUUACUCCUCUUUCUUAGUUUAUGUUUCCCUAUUUGUAUCAUAAUUAUUAUAACACGCAACACAUAAAGAUGUCUUUCACCAAGCCAUAAUAUAUAAAGAAAUAUUUUUCCAAAAGGUCACCGUUUGAUCCAACACUGUUAAACACACAAGUAUCCAUACUAUGCAUUGUCCUUCAACACAGUUUUUCCAAAUUUGACAGCAGCCACUUUUCCAUUCAAACAACUACAAUGUACGCGUCAAAGUAACGCAUAUAUACUCACCCUCUCUUCAACACUACACCUUGCACAGUCCAUCAAGCAAACAACAAUCACCAUUUCCCCAAGUCCUAUCGUCACAUCUCUACCCAAACAGCUUCAGUAGCUCUGUUGUUCGCAAUGGAGGUGCAGACCGAAGUCCUCAUCGUGGGCGCAGGCCCAGCAGGCCUUGCAACGGCAGCAUGCCUCACCCAACUUAGUAUCCCUUAUGCCAUCGUCGAGCGUGAGGAUUGCAGCGCAUCCCUGUGGCGCAACCGUGCCUAUGACCGCCUAAAGCUACACCUUGCAAAGGAGUUUUGCGAGUUGCCCCACAUGUCAUACCCGGCAGAUGCUCCAACCUACAUCCCAAAGGAUCAGUUCGUGAAGUACCUAGACAAUUACAUCGAGCGUUUCGACAUCCGGCCAAAGUACCAUACAGCCAUCGAGUCAUGCUCAUAUGAUGAAGUUAGAAAGUGUUGGUUUAGCAUGGCACGUGACGUGACAACAUCGGUGGCUGUUAGGUAUACAUCUAAGUUCCUUGUCGUGGCAAGUGGUGAGAACAGUGCAGAGAACAUUCCGAUGAUCCCUGGGCUGCAAAGCUUUGCUGGAGAGGUUAUCCACUCAUCAAGAUACAAAUCAGGUUCCUCCUACUCAGGAAAGAAUGUACUGGUGGUAGGGUGUGGCAACUCUGGAAUGGAGAUCGGCUAUGACCUUGCGUCUCAUGGUGCCAACACAUCCAUUGUUAUUCGCAACCCAGUAAGUUUGUUAUUCCAUUUUGUAUUUAAAAGCAUGUAUGCAACCUUAGUUAAUUGUGUAACAAAGAGCUUACACUGAGGUGUAAAAGACCAUUCAAAAAAUAAGAGCUUAAAUUUGUCAUAAACUUUUUAAAGGAAACGUUACAUACUCCUAAACAUGAGAAAAUUUAGGGUACUACUUCUAAAUAGAUGAACACUCUAUGCACUUAUAGGCUUUGUCGCUUUUACAAAAAUAUGUGUGUGUGACAUUUUUGUGUGCUUGCAGGUACAUGUAGUGACAAAAGAAAUAAUACGGCUGGGCAUGACUUUGGUCCAACAUACACCAGUGAAUAUUGUAGAUGAUUUUCUCGUAAGAAUGUCAAAUUUUGUGUUUGAUGACCUGUCAAGGCAUGGCAUUGUGAGGCCAAAACUAGGUCCUCUCCUCCUCAAGGCAGAAACAGGUCGAUCGCCUGUCAUUGAUGUUGGGACGGUUGGUUUAAUUAAGAAUGGCACUAUCAAAGUAAGCAUAUUUCCUCAUAUGAUAAAAUUAUAUAGUAAUGUUUCUUCAUAAAUUAUUCAAGUUGUUUAUCUCUUUAGGUGCUUGGAAAUAUUUCCAAAAUCAAGGGCAACAUAGUUGAAUUUGAAGGCAGGAAAGAAAGCGCUUUUGAUGCCAUUGUGUUUGCAACCGGAUAUAAAAGCACCGCCAAUAAGUGGCUUAAGGUAGCAACAUCAAUGUUUUGUUUUACCAUGCAACUAAAUUAAUUUAGAUAACAAUUGUGUCAUUCAGGUUUUAACAAAUCAAAAUAACUUUGUAAUUUAUGAUUUCAGAAUGGGGAAAGUAUGUUGAAUAAUGAUGGAUUGCCUAAGAAAGAAUUCCCAAAUCAUUGGAAGGGUGCAAAUGGGCUCUAUUGUGCUGGUUUGGCGAAGAGAGGCCUGGCUGGUAUUGCCAUGGAUGCCAAGAAUAUUGCCAAUGACAUCUCGUCGAACUACCAUGCAUAAACAUGUAUUUUGAUGAACUACAUAGCCUUUAACUGUAUUGUCAAAGGCAGUGGUGCUAUCCUGUAGCUGUACUACGCGGCGCAUAUAUGCUAUAGAUCAAGUUUUUUAAUAUAGAUUUGUAAAAAUGUUACCAUGAGCAUCAUAUAUCAUACUGUAUAGUUGUCAUUAUUGUAUAAUUGUGGAUUGCUAUUAUAAGUACAUAUGUUUCAGUGCUAAAUGUUUUCAUACUACUCAUUUGAAAUGAUCACGACUAAUUUAGUCAACAUUUUGUGCUAAUUUGCCUCCCAAACGGAUUGCUGAUAUUUUGCAAAAUAACCCCUAUUUUUUUUGCAAAUAAUCCCCUAAACCGGGUUACAUAUAAAUUAAACGGGAUUCAAAUAUUUAAAUAUAGUAACCUACUAGAUAAGGUGGUGACUAUUGAUCGUGAUACAUCCUUUUGCAAAUAAUCCCAAAGACAAUACGAACAAAGAUCAUGGAGCCAAGGCGUGCGCGCAUACUGCAUGCCAUCCAGAGCCGUGGGAGUCGACAUGGCCGGUGCAGUGCAUGUUCGUAAGUACGGAUAACACACUCCGUCCCAUGGUGCUGCCAUACCCGACGAGAGCGAAGACAGCUUGUUAUGGGGCCGUCAUGCUUUGCUCAGUUGGUGAAGAAAAGGCCCUACACCAAAUAAAAACAUAGUAAGAAUUGUCCCACAUCUUUUGAUCAUAUGUUCUUCUCCCUUUAAGUUCAUCCAUCCAAUCUUAGUGUUGAAGAACACAUAGAACCAUGGAAUGUGCUUAAUGAAGGCCUCCAUCAUAGCACCAUCUCUACCAAACUCUGCCCUUUAGUGUGCCCAUCACAUCAUCAAGCUACAUUUUUGCAUCAUGCAUGACUCCAUGCCAUAGGGGAGAUUAAUUGUGCCACAAUUCUUCACAAUCUCCUCAAUCACAUCAUUCCUACACAUUGCCGUUGAUUUUUAGAAUAUAUAAACAUUUAAAUAAUUAAAAUAAUCAGGAAAAAGAGAAUGUUCGGCAUGCGAUGCGGAGGUAGUAGGCAUGUACAUCUAUUUCAUCAGAAUAUAACUGUGAAUAUAAUAAAGUGGCAUCUGUUUUGAAGAGUAUGAUACAUUCAACAUGCAAGAAGAGGAGCCUCUUCCUCUUUUACCUUUUGAUGGAUAGUCAUGGAUUCUCUCUAGUUUGGUAAUCAUGAAUCCGAAUGGAGAACAAUGAGGUAGCCUUGAAAAGUUCCUCCUUUUUCUCCGGCCACUGGAGAUUGAAAGAAUAAGAGCAUAAAGUUUUUUGUUGAAAACGUUUCAGCAGAGAAUUCAUGUUAGAAUUGUUAGUCGUGAAUUAUUUGAAAACGUUAGUUUAGCAAUCAAUCUAGAGCUGCCUAUAAAAAAGGAAACCCUAUAUCUGAUAUGAGUACGAUCAUGCGUUGGAGUUAGAUCUAAUAGGAAGAUAUAUAUUUCCCAUAUUUUCCCUAUUGGAUUUAAGAACAUAUAAAAUAAGAGAAAUAUUAAAUCUACAUCCUAGGAGGUAAUAAUAUCAUUUGAUCUACAGUCCACUGUCACCUUAGAGUACCAUAGCAAAAACCUUAAAAAACCCAUGUUGGUGAGUAUAGUUAAGGACUGAAGAAAUUUUGAUCUUUGGUCAUGUCACUGCUGGUAGAUGAAUAUCUUCUGAAAUUAUUUUUCAGCCCUCAAGUCCGUAUUCAAUUCCAUAGUAAAUCAUGUUAGAUCUCUUCGAAUUUAUUCUUGAUAGUAUGGCCAAUGUUGGGAUAGAAAUGUUCCAUAAUUGAUAACAAUGAGCAUUAUAUAUCUCUACUUCAAUUUUAAUGAUGGAUUCACUUUGGAUCGAUGAUAUAACCCUUGUCCAUUUUACUGAUCCUUUUUAUAUAAAAAAGGGAUGUGCAGCCAUUUAUUGUUUUGGAGCGAUGCUAGUAUUUUCUAUGUCAACACUGAUAGAGUACAUAUAUCUUCUUGAGGUGAUUUUAACAUGUGCUCGCAUGCUCUUACUCCAUAGGAUAUCUUCUUUGAGAAAAAAAAAGACUUCAUAGCCUAUCAUGUUAUAUCUUGUCAGAUUCUUUUAAUUAUGAAAGAAAUAUUUUCAGAUUUUUCUAGAUUACGGGCAUUGUUGAGAAAUGUUCCAUAAAUGUUAGUGGUCAUUUAAAUCUUUCUCCUUCAGGUAGUGUUGCAAGCUAGGGAUACUGCUCAAGACUUUUAUAAAAGGUGGUUGCCAUCUGGAGAAUGCAGAAAGAGAGAAGUGGCCUACUAGCUGUUUAGAGAUGGCGAGCUUCAGUUGCCAGCAGCGCUCAGUCUCCCAGCGUAUCUUCCUCGUCUCUGUCGUCCUCCUGCUGAACGCUUCCGCGGGGCUAUGUAGCUGCUACAAGCGCAUCUUCAGCUUUGGUGACUCCAUCAUCGACACCGGCAACUUCGCGAAUGGCAAGGGCCCGCUCAUGGAGUUCCCAUUUGGCAUGACAUACUUCAAGCGCCCCACCGGGCGCAUCUGCGACGGCCGUGUCCUCAUCGAUUUCUACGGUGAGUAUCGUACCACAAUGAUCAAUCAGUUUGUACAUAGUAUACUUGCAUUGCUUGACACAGUGUGUGGUCAUUGCUGUGCAUUCUUGAUCUCAGCUCAAGCGCUCCAGCUGCCACUGGUACCACCAAACCUGCCGGAGAAGGACACGGGGCUGUUCCCGAACGGCGCCAACUUCGCGGUGUUUGGCUCCACGGCGAUGCCCCCGGAAUACUUCCGUAGGUUCCACCACAGUGUGCCGUUGUGUGUCACCUGGGCAUGCAGAUGGGCUGGUUCAAAGAUCUCAUGCACCGGAUUGCCCCCAACGACGGUAUAUACAGUGUAUAUAUUACUCCAUACACCGCAUCCAUGCAUGCAAUCGGUUGGUUAUCCAUUGCAUGAACUAUUCGAUCUGUCAGAUGCCAAGAGACGGAUCCUUAGCGAGUCUCUCAACGUGCUGGGCGAGAUCGGAGGCAAUGACUACAACUACUGGUUCAGCGGCAAUAUGCCUCGCGAGCAAGCUGCCCAGUUCACCCCAGACAUCAUGGCAGCCAUAGGCUCUUCCAUCCAGGUGCCAACUCCUUCCACUUUCAUCAUUGUACAGCUGCGUGUAUACUUACUUAGGCACUUAGCUAGCCAUUUUAAUGCAUGCAUUAUUUUGCAGGAGCUCAUCAACAUGGGUGCCAAGGUGAUCAUGGUCCCGAACAACUUCCCCAUCGGGUGCGUGCCAGCAUCCCUGAGUAGGUACAGGAGCAACAACCGCGCAGACUACGACGAGCUCGGGUGCCUCCGGUGGUACAACGACUUCUCCCGGAGGCACAACCAAGAGCUCCGCCGCGUGGUCGACGGGCUCGCCGCGCGGAACCCCGGCGUGAAGCUCAUCUACGCCGACUACUACGGCGCCGCCAUGGAGUUCAUCAGGGACCCGCACAGGUUCGGCAUCGGCGACCCCCUCACCGCGUGCUGCGGCGGCGACGACCAGCCGUACCACACCGACAGAAACUGUGACAGAACAGCCAGGAUCUGGGGCAACCCGAGCAGCUUCGCCAGCUGGGAUGGUGUGCACAUGACGGAGAAGGCGUACGAGGUCAUCGCCCGGGGGGUGAUCGACGGGCCGUUCGCCAAUCCACCGUUGCUGAGGGCCUGCUAGCUAGAAUUCUAAAGAUGCCCCGAGCAUUUUGCACGGGGAUUUCAGGGGGUGUUUGGUAGUUAUGGAUCAAUCCAUUUCACUCCAUGAUCCAAAAAAAGAGAAGGAAAAAAGAUCCAAAAAAAGAAAUGAAAGUGAGGGGUUAGAAGACCAUCAUUCCUUAAACCAACGCACCCUAGUUAGUUUGUUGCAUUUGAGAUUUGUAAAGCUUUUUGUCAUUUUCGAAAACUGUAUGCAACAAUACAUUUAUAGAAAUAAAGGUUGGUGAUUUUCUGGAUGAUAUGAUAUGGCAGAGGAUAUAUGUACUUACUCAAUGCAAUUUCACCCUACCAAAAUUUAGUCCCCCAGCACGUUCUUAUAGAAAAAAAAUAGGCUAUGUUCUCCCUCUCCUUUUUUAGAACAGCAGCUAAUCACAUGCCUAGAUUUAGCCACCAUUGUAACACUGAACAAAUUUUGCGUAAAAUAAAAUUUAGUCAUCUGGCUACGGUUCACGGUUAAUUACUUCAGGUACCCUAGCAAAAUCCCAUGAUUAACUUAUCCACCAUUGUAACACUGAACGAAUUGCUUUCAGAAAAGAUACGUUCAUGGCGAGGCUGAAGAGGCACACCAGGGCGACAGGGCGUCGAUGUGCCUCCGUCACCGAAGGAAGAGGAUUCGAUGAACACGAGGCCCUCCUCCGGCAGGUAGCCGCCGAGCGUGUACAGGAACGCCCCGCCGGGAUGGUGCCCGCCAGGCUGUGCACCUCCACCGUUCCUCGUCUGGACUGUGCACCGUCCUCGCCGGGUCGGCCGGCCGCCGGCGCUCGGCCUCCGCCGCCCCGCGGAGCUCGCGAAAUCAGUGAAGCACCGGGAGUAGCCAGUAGCGGCCGUCCAUGCGGGUACAGGGAUACAAGCACCGCUGUCGUCCCGUAGCGGCAUGGACACGAGCCGCCCCGCGGCGGCGGCCGUCCGCGCGCGCCCAGAGCACGACGUUGCCGGUGACGACGAGCCGAUCGAGCACGAGGGGCCACCGCCAUUGCGACGCUGGUGGCCGGAGAGGGAACGGAAGGGAGGCAACGAAACGACGUGGUCUCUGCGCGUGGCGCCGCGGCCUGACCGUGCACGAGAGGAGGUCCCUGGCUCUAACGCCGGCGGCCGGUCCCUGGCUACCGCAUUUUGCAAACGAGCCCCGCUAUUCAGGGGGUUAUUUGAAAUGUUCCGGAUGCGUAUUUUUGACGGUCCUGUUAGCGAUCCAAUAUUUUGCUAAUUUUCAGGAUAUUUACUUUACUCAUUCAAUUCCACUUCCACACACCCUGUCAAUCUGAAAACAUGCUAUUUUUAUUUCAAAAUCAGAAUGCCGCAACCUAGACUUUUGUCGUGGAUGCCAUGAUCCGCAACCCAACCUAGCCUUUUAGUGCGCCCGCGGCUGCACGAUUGCACGCCUCAAGCUAUUCGUACGAGUCAGAAUUAAUGUGUGUAUUUCUUCGGAUGAUCCCUCCACCACUCGUAUAUUUUUACUUUUUAGUGAGUGCAGUUUGGCAUGCCCACUGAAUGACUUGUCCUUUGAAGUGUAUUUAUUUGCACGGGCGUCUUGUCCCGGCCCUGGAAUCGUAGGAAAAGUCACAUACAUUAUAAUAUCACGGGUGGAAAACCGAAUAUUAAACCUCAUAUCUCUCGAAAAACUAACCGGAAUUAAUUAUUCAAGACUAAAGAUAGACUAAAGAAAGAUAGACUAAAGAGCUUCUUUAGUCUUGGGACGGCCGCCGUGCAUGCUUCAGUGUCCUAGUGCAGCCAUGCAUGCUAAAGAAGGGGCCCCGGAGGUCGCGAAAUCGAUGGAGGACAGGAAGUAGCGACCAUCCAUGCGGGACACCAGCGCCGCGGGCGUUCCUUAGCGGCAUGGACACGUGCUGCCCCGCGGCGGCGGCCGACCGUGCCCAGAGCGAGCACGACGUUGCCGCUAAUUUGAAAAUUUCGGGAUGAGUAUUUUUCACGUGGCCCCUAAUUUGGAUCGCGACCAUUAAUCGCGAUCCAACGUUUUGCACAUAACCCCUCGUAUCGGUUCUGACUUCCCUGGGGUGGUUGAUCGGAGGCUGGCGCGCGGCAAUCCGGCGACGGCGGCGGGUGGAGACAGGCGAACGCCGGUCGCCGGCAUCGAGGUCCUCCCGCUCACCAUGCUCCUCGCAUCUGAAGACUUGGUGUUGAACUCGACGGGCGAUCGCCGCGCUUCCGUCCUGAAGGCCCGGCCGGCAGCUGAGCUGCGGCACCUGGUGCUCGGGCGCGGCUCGUGGAAGGACCUUGCAGACGAUUGCGAAUUCAUGUCGGCGAAAUUCAGGGUACAUUUGAUGGAAGCCCUGACCAACAUCGUCAGGUGUCUGUCUGACAGGCCAGGCAGACAGUAGCCAACAUUAUCAGCUUAGCGGUUAUACGGAAGUUAUUCGAAAGAAGACUUGACGUCUUGCUGAAUUUCAGAUUGUGAAUUUGCAGAGUGUUUAGAAUUGAGUGCUCAUAUUCAGGCAUUUUUCGCUGACAGGAGCACUCCGAUGUUCUGGUAGAUAUUCAGCCAUUCAGAUUAAGAGUUUUCCUACCUGAAUGUUCGAUUCAGAUCCUAUUUCAGUGUGAACAGCACUGAAGAGAACUUGCUGUCUUGGUGAUGUUGACGACGCGAUGUGCAGGCUGCCGUCCUUGGUGGCUGAGAUAACUUGCUGACCUGCUUGGAUCAUACUGAAAAAAAAAGGGUUCAAUCCGACAUUGCUUGGCCUUGCACUAGUGAAGAACCAUGAAAACUGGUCAAAACCGGUCCUGAAUUUUACUGGAGCACCAGCCAAAUGCAACAGAAAUUCACUGUGUGACCCACUGCAAAGAACAAUCUGAACACUUCUAGUGUUAUGUCCCUUGAUGACAUGAUUGCUGACUACAAGCAGCAAUUACUCAUACAGAAAAAGGAAUCAUUGGUACUGAUAUCUUUCUUUCACAAAUCCUAACACAGAUUGCACUCCUUAUAGUUGACACUUCGUGCAAAAUUUUGGGGCCUCCGUUCUAUCGCUAAAACUGAAUACUCUGCCACUGAUGUAGACAAGUUCAACGAGAAGCAGCUCUAAUAAAAUGAAUAAAUGAUGACCUCUCAGUGAUCCUACAUAUUUGCAAUUUUGAAAUAAUGCUCGAGGAAAAUUAUAGUAUGAAGUUAGCAUAUGCCUAAAAGAUAAAUUCCUUGUAUCGUGUUUCUAACUAUUUAUGUGCUAGACAAAGCUUUCAAACCCAUAUUCAAUUCUACUAACACAAAGUACACGGAAUGCCCAUAGCAGUUACUCUUCUUUCAUAGUUUAUGUUUCCCUAUUUGUACAAUAUUUAUUCUAAUACACAGUCAUAACAUUCAUAGAGAAACAUUUUUCCAAAGGAUCACCGUUUCAUCCAACACACAAAAGCAGUGUCCUUCAACACAGUUUUGCCAAAUUUGACAGCAACCACGUUCCCAUUCAGUCAACCGCAAUGUACGCGUUAAAGUAAGACAUAUAUUCCCACCUCUCUUCAGCACACCUUGCAAAUUCAUCAAGCAAACAACAAUCACCAUUUCCACAAGUCCCUCUUCGCAUCUCUAACCCCACAACUUCAGUAGCUCUCUUGUUCGCAAUGGUGGUGCAGACCGAAGUCCUCAUCGUGGGUGCAGGCCCAGCAGGCCUUGCAACGGCAGCGUGCCUCACCCAUCUUAGUAUCCCAUAUGUCAUCGUUGAGCGUGAGGAUUGUAGUGCAUCAUUGUGGCGCAACCGUGCUUAUGACCGCCUAAAGCUACACCUUGCAAAGGAGUUUUGUGAGUUGCCCCACAUGUCAUACCCGGCAGAUGCCCCAACCUACAUCCCAAAGGAUCAAUUCGUGAAGUACCUAGACAAUUACAUUGAGCAUUUCGACAUCCGGCCAAAGUACCAUACAGCCAUCGAGUCAUGCUCAUAUGAUGAAGGUACAAAGUGUUGGUUCAGCAUGGCACAUGACAUGACCACAUCGGUGGCUGUCAGGUACACAGCUAGGUUCCUUGUCGUGGCAAGUGGUGAGAACAGUGUGGGGAACAUUCCGGUGAUCCCUGGGCUGCAAAGCUUUGCUGGAGAGGCUAUCCACUCGUCAAGAUACAAAUCAGGUUCCUCCUACUCAGGAAAGAAUGUACUGGUGGUAGGGUGUGGCAACUCUGGAAUGGAGAUCGCCUAUGACCUCGCAUCUCAUGGUGCCAACACAUCCAUUGUUGUUCGCAGCCCGGUAAGUUUGCUCUUCCGCUUGCUAUCAGAACUCUAGCACACAUGCAGACCUUAGUUAAUUGUGUAAAGGAGAAUUUUAGAAAUAUAAAAGCUUAAAUUUUUAACAAAUUUUUUUCUAAGGAAAUGAUAUAUAUACUCCUAAACACGAGAAAAUGUAUUGUAAGUGUACUUCUACUAAGAUGAGCAAUCUAUGCAUGUCUAUGCUUCUGUGCUCUUACAAAAUAUAUGUGUGUGACAUGUUGUGUGAUUGCAGUUACAUGUAGUGACAAAAGAAAUAAUGCGGCUGGGCAUGACUUUGGUCCAACAUACACCAGUGAACAUUGUGGACGACCUUCUUGUGAGGAUGUCGGAUUUUGUGUUUGGAGACCUGUCAAGGCAUGGCGUUGUGAGACCCAAAUUGGGUCCUCUCCUCCUCAAGGCAAAAACUGGUCGAUCAGCUGUGAUUGAUGUUGGGACAGUUGGUUUAAUUAAGAAUGGCACCAUCAAAGUAAGCAUAUUUCCUCAUAUGAUAAAAUUAUAUAGUAAUGUUUCUUCAUAAAUUAUUCAAGUUGUUUAUCUCUCUUUAGGUGCUUGGAAAUAUUUCCAAAAUCAAGGGCAACAUAGUUGAAUUUGAAGGCAGGAAAGAAAGCGCUUUCGAUGCCAUUGUUUUUGCAACUGGAUAUAAAAGCACGGCAAAUACGUGGCUCAAGGUAGCACCAUUAAUGUUUAAAUUAAAUUUAUAGAACAAUUUGUGUGAUUUUUGUUUAAACAAAUCAAUACAUUUUGCAAUUUAUGAUUUCAGAAUGGUGAGAGCAUGUUAAAUGAUGAUGGAUUGCCAAAGCAAGAAUUCCCAUAUCAUUGGAAGGGUGCAAAUGGGCUCUAUUGUGCGGGUUUGGCAAAGAGAGGCCUAGCUGGUAUUGCCAUGGAUGCCAAGAAUAUUGCCAAUGACAUCUCGUCUAACUACCAUGCUUAAACGUGAUACCUAGAUGAUUUGGACAGAAUUUAACUGUAUUGUCCAAAGGCAGUGGUACGGUGCUAUCUUCUAGCCUCUAGAAGCAGCGGACGCGUCGGAGUCGGUUGGAGAGUCCGAGCCGCGAAGGGACCCGGUAUCGCCUAGGGUUGCAUGGCAUGGGCUCACCGCAACAAACAGCAGCAUCGAGCCGGCGGCGAAGGUGGAGGGCAAGGCCAAGCCUGCGGCGGCGGAGGGCAAGACCAAGCCUGCGGCGGCGAGCAGCGUCGAGACGGCGGCGAAGGCGGAGGACAAGCCCAAGCGCAAGCCGGCGGCGAAGGUGGAGGACAAGCCGGAGCCAGCGGUGAUCGCCGCCGGGACCGAGAGGGUGGAUGAAGGUUUCAUCCAGUACCUGCGGACGCGUCCCGUGCGUCGGCUCAGUCCUCUCCCCGAAAUCCUCCGCAAGAACCGCCCCUGGCUUGUAGAGAGUUACCGAGCCGCUGUUGCCAUGAGCAACGAGAUGGAAGACCUGUACGAGGACAUCUUGAGGCAGCACGACGAGAAGGGGUACGCCUUGGUGAGGGUCGAGCGCUUCGACAAUGGCAAGAAGAGGUUGUAUCGUCUCCCCGUGGAAGAAACUGCAUGGGGUUUCGCUGGGGUAUAUGGCUAAGAUGUUUAUCCUGCUGUCUGCUGUGUCGUCUGAUCUAUCCGUGUGAUGUUGCUAAAUUAUGGUGCUAAAUUUGGAACUGUUUAAGUGGUUAUUACGGUUCCUAGUGUUGCUGAUACUGAAUCUACCAGCUCUUCUAUGUGUUCCACUUGUUUCGCAAGAGCUUUCGUUUGUCUGCGGCUCUGGCCUUUCUACCAGCUCUUCUAUGCUGUUGGUUGUCGCCGUCAUUCCGCAUCGUCGCCGUCCGAGUACGUUCUCCGGUAAUCAGAAACACACGCAAAAAUGAACUCGGCGAGUACACCAGUCGAUCGCUCUCCACCACGUCCACGUCGAAGCACAGGCGCUGAACUGCCCGAUCAAGACGACACAAUGCGGUCACCUGGAACACCGUGUUCGUCAGCGCGCUCUCCCACCCGCCCGUCCCUGCAACGCAAGCCACGACGAUUGAGCUAACAUGUACAUUGGCAUCUCGGCAUGAACACAGGCAGAUGAAGAAGAUGUACCGGUGGUUGGGAUGACGAAGGGGUCGGGUGCCAGGGGUGGUCUUGAAGCUCGGUUUCCUCACGUCCUCCAGGAGCGGUGCAAUCACCUGCACGAGCCGGCGGUAUUCCAUCGGAGAAACGAGCAACUUGGACUGGUGGCACGUGAGGAACUGUAUUGGCCAGGUGCAGGGGCGGCGGAAACGAUUUGGCAGCACGCAGAAUCGCGGAGAAACGAGCUGCGCGCAUCUCUGGCGCCGAAUCGCCAGGGGCGGCGCAGAACCGCGUAGGCUGGGGCAGCGCACGUGCGACUGAAUCGGCGGGGAGUUUUUGGAAAAGAAAAUCUAGGAGGGGGGUUUAAGCACAAAAUUGUCCCACCUCUUGCCCCAUCCAUUGGAUUCCUGUGUUCCUGAUUGUUCGUUUCCAAGUUUCCACGGGUUGCUUGGUUUGCACCUAAUACGUUGCCUACAGAAUGAGGCUUGUGUAGUGUUAAUUUAAGCAAAAAUGGAUGCAUAAAACUUUGAAUUCAAGAUGAGUCUUGAAUAAUAUAUGCAAAAUCUUGUAGAGUCUAAAUGUGAAUUGGACACAAGUAGUGUGGACCCUCAUAUUUGAUAAGCGAUGAACUUGCUGCUAUUAUCGAGGCUAAGUGGUAGUCACUACCAAGAUAUAGUCUCUAUCAUCAUGUACUAGUGUUCGAACACAUGUAGUCACCGAAAUGGUGUAGACCUCACGGUAGAGGACGAGAAACUUGUUGCUAUCGACAUAGAUACCUUAGACUCCACUAUCAUGUGUUUACAUAUUGCUAUCGACAUAGAUACCUUAGACUCCACUAUCAUGUGUUGUACUAGUAGGUAAUCACCAUGUUGGUGUAGGCCUUGUUUGAUUCAUAUUCAAAAUUGGGUACGCACGCGUUGAGGAUACUCAUUAUGUGCAAGUGUAGAUCCCGCAGCACUAUAUAUUAUCAUACUACCUUGUGUAUGGCCAAUAUGAGAUAUGGAUUAAGGUAAUCACUGGAUAAAGGUGUAGACCUAUAAUUAUUCCAAACUUUGAUAUUGGGUACGCAGUAGUAGUAGUACUAGAGUACCACCUUGUGUAUGGCCAAUAUAUAAGGUUUUGGAAUAUUAUGUUAUUUUAAAUUGAUAAGGUAGCACUUGUAUUUUGCAUAAAAAUAAGCAUGUUAGGCAAUGUCUAUCCUUUAUUGCUUAAUUAUUUUUAAAUAUAAUUCUGCUUGAAUUAAGCUCAUUGAUCAUAUGUCAUGAUGUUUGGUGCUUAAUUAAUGUGAAUUACUAUUGUUAAAUUGCAAGAAAUAAAAUUUUGCAAUAAUAACAAGUUUUCUAAGUGUAUAUAGGGAAUGCACAGAGGCAUACACAUUGAACACAGCAAAAUAAAAAUCCAGUGCUUGUUUGGUUUGGAAUGGAACAUGAAUUAACAAUACAAUAAGGGCUCCUUUGGAAGGACUUCUCGCGCAGGUCUCGGCAUGCGGAGCCGGAGCUGGAGCCGCUACUUUUUCUUCUACGCCAUGCAGCCUUAAAACGGCUCCGACUCCUCCUGCGGAUGGCUAAAAACGGCUCCGGCGUCGUAACCGUUUGGUGCGGCUCCAGCUUCUCUAUGCUCCGGCAAGCGUGCGGAGCCGGAGCCCUCCCAAAGGAGCCCUAAAUCAUGUGACGUUGCAGCGGCAAAUUACUAGGAAGCCUGAGGGGCUUUAUGUGAAUUCACUGCUAGCCUGGCCUUUCCAGCCUGAUAGGCCCAUUCCGGCCCUGUAGAUCCAUGCGGGCCCGAGUCAUUGGGGAGAGCGGCAGUUCGGGUUUGCCACCCCUUCCCACUUUGCCGCCGCCGCCUGUUGGCCGUCGAGGAGACGGCUCUCGCAGAGUCGCUGCCCCUGCGAGACCGGGCUCGCUCGCCCCUGCUGUUCCGCCGGUAAUGUGUGGCCGGCCAUGAGGCUUGGGGGCAGUAGCCCCUGGUGGGGAUGCGCGCGGAGCGCUUGAUGCGGCCGACGGACGAGCAAGGCCUGCUGCGAUACGCAUGUAGAUGCAUGGCGUUGCAGGCCCCUGUCAAUUAUUUGCUGCGGCCAGCAGCAACUUGGGCGGAAGCGUUCGGAACUGAAGGUAUGCCAUGGAUUGGGAAAUUGUUCUUUCGCAUGGCGCUUAUCUGUUGGUGCAGAUGAACUCUUCCUUUGAUCUUGUUUCUGCUUGUUUGCCGGAGCAUCAACUAUCCUGCGUGUUUGUGGAUUAGCGAUGCAAAAGCAAGUUUGACUAAUAAUGUAAAGACAAGCUGAACUCAAGAGAAGAUUCAUGUUCGAAUGGCCUUUUGAUGUUUUCUCUUGCAAAUUCGGUGUGUGAUUGCCUGUUCGUGAUGCAGACGUGUUGCGAGAUUCUUGUUCGAUGCAUCUAUUGGCCUCCUAUGUGCGUUGGUCUUGGAUUCCUGUGCCUGUGUUCUUGCCGUGGGAAUAUAGGCAUCAAGUAGAGAUUUUUGAGACUAAUUUGUCUCUGUUUUGAAUAUGCCUGCACAUACUCAAUUAGAGAUGCAAGAGUAAGAAAAAGAGAAAUGUAGAGACAUAUUGAGAUGGACGCCGGCAGUCUCCAUUUUCGUUGUCUUCUGUUCUUGAUUUGGCCGAUUAACUACUAAUCAUGUGCUAAUCACGUGGUUAGGACUAAUUGAUCACAUCUCUAAUUAUUGCUGACAACGCCAUCCAUGCCCCCGACCCUGGGCAAGGGCAUCAGGCGACACCAUCAUCGGACGGUGCCGGACUUGCGAUGGCGUCGUCAGCGGCCAGCGCGGCCUGCCGGACAACCCCGAACGCCGCCCCGCGAGCGCUCCAGUCUGGCCCACACGGCUGCCGCCGAAGAGGAGGGAGGGUUCCCCGUUGACCGGUUGUCGGUAGAAGAUGCAUGCAGAUGGAGCCAGUCAACCGAAGAACAAUGCAGGGGGUGCAGUGCCUUCCACCGCCCAGCUCUUCCAUGCCAUGACUGCGACGACGCUGCAGUGCUAGCAUGGUUCAUUUUCAGGAUUGAAGCAUGCCCUUGUUGGCCAGCUAAAUCUGAAUCCUGAACCUGCAUGCAGUGAUAUGUGCUGGCUACUUCAAGUUGUGAUGCAGCAAGAUGAUUCUGAACAAUUCAGAGUUGUUGUCCUCUGCACCAUUCUUGCUGGCUGCUGACGUUUUGUUCGGCGCAGAGAUGGAGUCAGCGUGGCCACCUGCCAUGCUUUGUUCAGUUGGUUUGUGAUGGUCUCAAGUUUGAGCAACCCUGAACCUGCAAACUGCAAAACCGUCCACCUGAAUCCUGCAUCGCAAAGCAUGGUCCACAUUGUUUGUUUGGCCUGCUGAAUCUGAACCAACUGGAACAGCGGGUCUCAUCCAAAAUCAGGAUGCCAAUUGCGUUCCAGAAGCCGGCUGGCCACUGCACCUGCACCAUAUACUAAAAGCGUCCCCGUUGUUCCUGAAUCUCAAUAUGAAAGAUUAAUUUGAAUUUGAAUUUCUGCAUGUUUGCUUAACUUUAUGUACACUACUAGCAGCUGGCCCCUGCAGCAGUUCAGAUUGCUGCUCCCGUUAUGCGGAAAAAGCUGCGCAACUUUCUCCAGGUGACAGCGUCAGUGUGAGUUGACAGACAUUCCUGCAGGGGACAUUGGCCAUGCCACCAACUGAACAGCCGGUCAGUAGGAUCAGCCGGUCAGCAACUGAACAUUGGCCAAAACAUAUACUGCCGCAGUUUCUGACUGCUUCAACACAGGCUUCACAGGAGAAGAUGCAAAGUUUAACUAAUGCAUAACAAAAUCACUAGUGACUUCCACAAAAGGUGGGGUGGGUAAAAGUACCAAUGAAUUCAUAUCCUACAGUUUCGCUGCCAAAGAAAAGAAAAGAAAACAACUCCCUUCCCAGCAUACCAAAU
rnacentral:lncRNA from 1 species